rnacentral:rRNA from 1 species
AGAGUUUGAUCAUGGCUCAGGAUGAACGCUGGCGGCGUGCCUAACACAUGCAAGUCGAACGGAGAUUGGAAGAGCGAGGAGCCAGCUUGCUGGCAACGAGCAUUUCCAAUUUUAGUGGCGGACGGGUGAGUAACGCGUGGGUAACCUGCCUCAUACAGGGGGAUAACAGUUAGAAAUGACUGCUAAAACCGCAUAACAUGGCGAUACCGCAUGAUAUUGCCAUCAAAUAUUUAUAGGUAUGAGAUGGGCCCGCGUCUGAUUAGCCAGUUGGCAGGGUAAUGGCCUACCAAAGCGACGAUCAGUAGCCGGCUUGAGAGAGUGACCGGCCACAUUGGGACUGAGACACGGCCCAAACUCCUACGGGAGGCAGCAGUGGGGGAUAUUGCACAAUGGGGGAAACCCUGAUGCAGCGACGCCGCGUGAGUGAAGAAGUAUUUCGGUAUGUAAAGCUCUAUCAGCAGGGAAGAAAAAAAUGACAGUACCUGACUAAGAAGCCCCGGCUAACUACGUGCCAGCAGCCGCGGUAAUACGUAGGGGGCAAGCGUUAUCCGGAUUUACUGGGUGUAAAGGGAGCGUAGGCGGUGCGGCAAGUCAGAAGUGAAAGCCCGGGGCUCAACCCCGGGACUGCUUUUGAAACUGUCGGACUGGAGUGUCGGAGAGGUAAGUGGAAUUCCUAGUGUAGCGGUGAAAUGCGUAGAUAUUAGGAGGAACACCAGUGGCGAAGGCGGCUUACUGGACGAUAACUGACGCUGAGGCUCGAAAGCGUGGGGAGCAAACAGGAUUAGAUACCCUGGUAGUCC